CGCUAUUGAAAAUAAAGAAAGCUCGGCUGCCACAAUUUGAAGAACUCCACCGCAAACUCUCAAAAAUCCAAAAGCAAGAAAACAACUAAUUUAAAUUUAACUAAUCAAACGUAUAUCACUAGAUAAAAAAAUAAAACCUAACUUAUACUUGCAUGCCUAAAGUAAACGUACUGAUCCAAAAUUUAAAGGAAUAAGAGUUGUUCUCCUAAUCAAAGUCAACUCCUAUUUAUCUAGUCUAAAGUUGCGGCUUAGUUAAGGAAACAAAAUUAGGGAAUUAAUCCCUUAUAGUGGCCGACCCUUAGCCCACAAAAUUGGGUUGUUUUCGGCCCUAUCAAAACUUAAGCCCAAAAUAAAUAAUAAAACAAGAGUUUAGGGCUUCAUUUAAAUAUAAAAUAAUUAACUUCAAGCCCAAUCUCUAAUUCUCUUCCAAAAGCAUUCAACUUGAUCCAAAA
rnacentral:lncRNA from 1 species